GAAGCACACCUUCUCUGGCAAAUAGAAUGGCUGUUCCCUGUUGCCUUUUAAAGUCUGGCCCACUUACUUUCAGGCCCUUGGCAGAUAGGAUCAGGGCCAGGCUUGUGGGUGUAUUUAUAUACGUUUCUUGAUUCAACAGAGGGAGUGCGCCUAUGCAGGCCCCCCAUCCUGCAUUGCGUGUAGCCGGCUGGCCAUUUCAGAUGUCUUCUCAGGCUGUGCUGGUUGCUGCAGCCAAAUCGAUGGUGGAGACGGCUGAAAAAGUCAUUCAGAUGGUCCGGGAUGAUCGGCCAGCUGUCCCCCCUCCUUCCCCCAGCUGGAGCCAGAGCAGCAAAGGAGACACAGAAGAGCAAAAUGUGAUGAGAGCUGGCAGGGAGGCAGGGAUGGCGAUGAGAGGGAGCACAUCUGCAUCUCCAUUGGCUCUGCUGAAUGUACAUGUCUGAGUAGGUGUGCGUGGGACCAUGCGGUGGCUACCAUCACUCCUGCAGAACCAAUCACCAGAGAACAUCUGACCCCUCCCGUGCCCUUGGCCAGUCCCAAGGUACUGGAUAAGCAAGGGGAAAGAAAACGCCAUCGAGAAUAUUUAAGGACGUCCAGAAACUUUCCCUAGGUUAGAGGUAUUUGGAGCAAAAAUAAAUAGCAAUUGUUACCAAA
ensembl:lncRNA